rnacentral:rRNA from 1 species
AGUGAACGCUGGCGGUAGGCCUAACACAUGCAAGUCGAACGGCAGCACAGUAAGAGCUUGCUCUUACGGGUGGCGAGUGGCGGACGGGUGAGGAAUACAUCGGAAUCUACUUUUUCGUGGGGGAUAACGUAGGGAAACUUACGCUAAUACCGCAUACGACCUACGGGUGAAAGCAGGGGAUCUUCGGACCUUGCGCGAUCGAAUGAGCCGAUGUCGGAUUAGUUAGUUGGCGGGGUAAAGGCCCACCAAGGCGACGAUCCGUAGCUGGUCUGAGAGGAUGAUCGACCACACUGGAACUGAGACACGGUCCAGACUCCUACGGGGGGCAGCAGUGGGGAAUAUUGGACAAUGGGCGCAAGCCUGAUCCAGCCAUACCGCGUGGGUGAAGAAGGCCUUCGGGUUGUAAAGCCCUUUUGUUGGGAAAGAAAAGCAGCAGGUUAAUACCCCGCUGUUCUGACGGUACCCAAAGAAUAAGCACCGGCUAACUUCGUG